rnacentral:lncRNA from 1 species
CAUGCCAUACCAAUAUCUCCAUACCAUUUGGAUACGAGGGUAACCAAUGCAUAUGGCACACAAUGACCUACACUUGAUAUCGCUAUUGUCUUAGUAAUAGCGUAUCAUUUAGUCGCGAACUAAUUUAAGGACUAUGCGAUAAAUCUUUCUUUAUCGAUCAAAGUAGUCCUAAAGACUUCAUCACAAUAUAGGAGUUUGUUAGAAGAUGUAUCUUUGUGAUAAAAAAUAUCAAAUAACUUU